rnacentral:rRNA from 1 species
GACGAACGCUGGCGGCGUGCCUAAUACAUGCAAGUCGAACGGUUUAGUUCCAAGAGGCUUGCCUUUUGGAACUAGACAGUGGCGGACGGGUGAGUAACACGUAGGCAACCUACCUGUCAAACCGGGAUAACCUCGGGAAACCGAAGCUAAACCCGGAUAAGCUCCUUUUUCGCAUGAAGGGGGAGUGAAAAGGUGCGACCUGAUGACAGAUGGGCCUGCGGCGCAUUAGCUAGUAGGUAGGGUAACGGCCUACCUAGGCGAUGAUGCGUAGCCGACCUGAGAGGGCGUACGGCCACACUGGGACUGAGAUGCGGCCCAGACUCCUACGGGAGGCAGCAGUAGGGAAUCUUCGGCAAUGGGCGAAAGCCUGACCGAGCAACGCCGCGUGAGUGAGGAAGGCCUUCGGGUUGUAAAACUCUGUUGUUUGGGAAGAAGGGAAAGGGUAGGACCCUUUGGUGACGGUACCAAACGAGAAAGCCCCGGCUAACUACGUG